rnacentral:pre_miRNA from 1 species
AGUGGAAUAACUGGGUCAAAUGGUGGUUCUAUUUCAAGUUUUCUGAUGAAUCUCCAUACUGCUUUCCAGAGUGGUUGUACCAAUUUGCAGUCCCACCAGCCAU